rnacentral:rRNA from 1 species
UCGCUCUUCAACGAGGAAUCCCUAGUAAGCGUAAGUCAUCAGCUUGCGUUGAUUACGUCCCUGCCCUUUGUACACACCGCCCGUCGCUACUACCGAUUGAAUGGCUUAGUGAGGCCUUCGGAUCGGCGAUUGAUGAGUAGCAAUAUUCGUCGAUUGCUGAAAAGUUGAACAAACUUGGUCAUUUAGAGGAAGUAAAAGUCGUAACAAGGUUUCCGUAGGUGAACCUGCGGAAGGAUCAUUAUAAAAUUUUUCACAUUUAUAUGUAAAAAAAUAAUAUAUAUAUUCAAAACCCACACUCUUAAUAAACCAUUAUAUUUUUUAUAAAAUAAUAAUAAAAAACAACUUUCAACAACGGAUCUCUUGGCUCUCGCAUCGAUGAAGAACGCAGCGAAUUGCGAUAAGUAAUGUGAAUUGCAGAAAUACGUGAAUCAUCGAAUCUUUGAACGCAUAUUGCACUCUCUGGUAAUCCGGAGAGUAUGCCUGUUUGAGGGUCAGUAAACAAACAUUAUCAUAAAUCUUUGAUUUAUGGAAUUGGGCAUUUAUUUCAAUACACAAGACUUAUUGCCUUAAAUUUACGUCGUUAUGAAAUUCUCUCUAAAUGGAGCAAUUAAACAUUCUCGUUUGGUUGGGACAUUUCAUUUACAAAAACUAUUACGAUUUUCACGCGCAAAGACGCUUUUAACAAAGUAAGGUCUCAGCUACGAUCGUAAGUUAUUUAACAAAGACCUCAAAUCAGGCAAGAAUACCCGCUGAACUUAAGCAUAUCAAUAAGCGGAGGAAAAGAAACUAACAAGGAUUCCCCUAGUAACGGCGAGUGAAGAGGGAAGAGCUCAAAUUUUAAAUCUAUCUUGUUCUUCAAGGUCGAGUUGUAAUUUGAAGAAGCGUUUUCUUGGAUUUGCAGCCGGUAGAAGUUCCUUGGAACAGGACAUCAUUGAGGGUGACAAUCCCGUCUGUGACCGGUUGCUCGUUCAUCUAUGAUACGCUUUCAAAGAGUCGAGUUGUUUGGGAUUGCAGCUCCAAAUGGGUGGUAAACAUCACCUAAGGCUAAAUAUUGGCGAGAGACCGAUAGCGAACAAGUACCGUAAGGGAAAGAUGAAAAGAACUUUGAAAAGAGAGUUAAAUAGUACGUGAAAUUGUUGAAAGGGAAACGAUUGAAGUCAGUCGUGCUGGCGCGUAAUCAGCCUACGAUUUGUCAAACAAGUAGUGUGGUGAGCCUCAAAACCGCUACAUUAUUUGUUUGGCUAAUCGUCGGUGCACUUUCGUUGUCGGCUGGUUAACAUCAAUUUCAAAUGUCAUAAAAAGGCUAGAGGGAUGUGGCUCCUUCGGGAGUGUUAUAACCUUUAGCGGAAUGUGGUGUUUGGGAUUGAGGAUUGCAACGAAUACCCUUAGGGCUGUUCCACCUGGUCUCUCUUUGGCAUCUUGGCGGCGACAGCUUGCUGACGUUGUUAAGAUUUGACAUUGAACAGGCUAGAGUGUGGGCAAAUUCGUUAAGGAUGUUAACGUAAUGGCUUUAAACGACCCGUCUUGAAACACGGACCAAGGAGUCUAGCAUAUAUGCGAGUGUU